rnacentral:rRNA from 1 species
UACGGAGGGUGCAAGCGUUAUCCGGAUUUACUGGGUUUAAAGGGCGCGCAGGCGGAUUAGUAAGUCAGUGGUGAAAGCCUUGAGCUUAACUCGAGAACUGCCAUUGAUACUAUUAGUCUUGAAUGUUGUUGAGGUUUGCGGAAUGGGUCAUGUAGCGGUGAAAUGUAUAGAUAUGACCCGGAACACCUAUUGCGAAGGCAGCAGGCUAAACAAAUAUUGACGCUGAGGCUCGAAAGCGUGGGGAUCAAACAGG